UUAAAUGGAAGGAUUUCAGCAAUAGUCAGUAGAUGGCGCUAGGGUACUACAUAAAUUACCACUGAUCUAGUCCUUUUUUCUGCGGUUUCCCUGUUUGAAGAGGAUGGAAGUAGCUGAUUCCUUUCUAAUUAUUAUUUGAAGGUGCAGUCUGGAAUCCAUUGUUGAGGGAAUAGACCCUGGUUAAAGAAAAUGGGGAGAAUAUUUUCAUGUUUAGCAAAGGCAUAAUGUGCUCUGCGCUGUACAAAACAAAUAUAAAGAUUGUCCCUCCUUCUAAGAGAGUACAAACUACAGCCCUGCUCCAAAGCCCAUUGAAAUCCAUGGGAGUCUUUUCAUUGAUGUCUGUGGACAUAGGAUUGGGCCCUAACUGAAGACAGGAUAAACUGGCAAACCCAGGAAAGAACAAAAGCUUUGAGGCAUUUUCUAUUGUUUGCUUGUUUGUUUUGUUUCUUCGAAAUGCCCACUGGAUCAAAAAGAAAUGCAACACAAGAUGUGUUAUAGUCAGCAUCUAUCUUGAGCUGGAGUCAGAGAGGAGAGCAGAGACUGCUGGACAAGAAUCUAAUGGAGCUGACCCUCAGUUUACACUGCUAAAAGAGGAACCCACAAGCUCUCAGACCAAAAGAGAAGGGAUAAAUAAAAUUGCCACAUAACCCCAAGAUGUCUUCACGCCCUGAGUGUUGCUUUAAUGGCUUAUUUGGAACAUUUUGAACCUUUCCUCCUUUGAUAUCCCUUCCAUACCAUGGAGAAAUAGAGGUGUGGUUGAAAUGGAACAUCCCACAAGAAGGUUUUAACAGAUGUAGUGAGAGACAAAGCCGUUGGAAAUGGACAUCAAGCUGGGGAAAACUUUUCUGAGACUAGAAAGCUUUUUCCAGGAAAAUCAAUUAAGAAGGUCUGGUAUAUUUCUUCUGUGAAGUUCACAAGAUAAAAUCAAGUUAAUCAAAUGCCAUCUCCACCCCAACAUGCUAUAACAGGAAAUGAGAGGGAAGGAAAGAGGAAAAAAAGAAAUCUACGCUAACAUCUUUCUUUGGCUCUCCCAGUGCAUCUUGUCUUACCAGCAUCUGUCUUCAGACUCAGAUCCUGUAAAGGGAUCUGCCACUGCAGGUCCUUAUACCUGUGCAGAAUACCGAGGGUAUAAUGGCUCAGAACUACUGGAUGGAGUCGCAGGAUUGGGGCGUAAGGCUGAGAUUUUCAAAGUUGUCUAGAGAGUUUAGACACACAGUUCCCAUUGAAAUUAGACUGUAAGAUCCAUGGGGUAGGUGUCAUCUCUAUUUGUGUGCUGAGCUGCAUUGAGUAUUUUAUAUGGUCAAUACACUUUAUAAAUAUUAACUGGCUAAUCCUCCCAAUUCCUUGAGGUGGUUGUUAAGCAUUAUUAUCCCUAUUUUACAGAAAGAAAAACUAAGGCAGAGGGUAGCCACUCACAUGGUGAGUAAAUGGCAAGAUAGGAUUAGAACUCAGAGUCUUCGAACUUGUGAGCAAAUGUGCUCCUUACUCCUGAUCAUGGUGUAAUAGUAUAUACAAAUGGACACGUGCCACUACAUUUCUAUGAUUUUUUCCUUUAAAGGCUAAGAAUAGCUUCCGGAACUUAUUAAAAAAAUCUCUUCCAGGUU